rnacentral:piRNA from 1 species
UGCCAAGAACAUGAUGGCUGCCUGUGACCC